AUAAUUUUUGAAUGUAAUGCUCUAAUAAUUUACUUUAUAAUUUAUAGUAAUGGUAACAAAGUCUUGUACUGCAAUAUAUAUCUAUCUUACAGAUACCUCUGAUGAUUUUGAAACUUAGGUUUUAAAAAGACAAAUUAAGUCAGCUGUAUGACUGAUUUGAGACACAAGAAUCGCAUUAGUGUAUUUGUUGUAACAGGAAAUGGCAAUGAUCUGACUGAGUUUGUGCUAGCUAAAGCACCUGUAUAAAAAGCAGCUUUAAAGAUAGCCAAUAACAGAGCAAGUCUAAGAUUAAUGUAUAUACUUAGAUACAAAGAGCAUACUGUGUUGCACGACUUUUUCACUCAAUUUAGAAACAAAGAUAUUUGUGAAGAAAAUGCAUGAAAGGUAUGGGCUUGUUUGCCACUAUGCAAUAAAAGCGUGUUGCAAAGCAAUUGGCAUUAAGGAUAUGUAUGCCUAAGUAGAAGGAGCGAAAAAUGUAAAGGCUUUCUUCAUUAGUUUAUUGCAGUUCAUCAUGAUCAAAUGGUAUGGCGACGAGAUCUACAUUAAUUGUAAGCGCGAAAUUUACAGCGGUGGUCUAUAGAUCAAGUAAAACCGGUAAUUGUACGCAAAUUUCUAUCAAGCCUACUUCUUGACACAGUCGCAACACUUAAUGUACAUCAUAAUGUAUCAUGCCGAUAUCUUGACAUGAAAAUAAUAAAUCAUAGCAUAUUGAAUAU